AAGUAGUUGAUACAAGGGCGA
rnacentral:miRNA from 1 species